rnacentral:rRNA from 1 species
UACGUAGGGUGCGGAGCGUUGUCCGGAAUUAUUGGGCGUAAAAGGGCUCGUAGGCGGUUUGUCGCGUCGGGAGUGAAAUCCACUGGCUUAACUGGUGGCUUGCUUUCGAUACGGGCAGACUGGAGGUAUGCAGGGGAGAACGGAAUUCCUGGUGUAGCGGUGAAAUGCGCAGAUAUCAGGAGGAACACCGGUGGCGAAGGCGGUUCUCUGGGCAUGUCCUGACGCUGAGGAGCGAAAGUGUGGGAGCGAACAGG